rnacentral:lncRNA from 1 species
UUUGCAAUUUUUAUCUUGAUACUACAAUUGUUUCUUUAUGUUACAUUUUGUCUUCCAAUAAUGAUAAGAUGUCCCACUCCUCUCUUCACCGAUAUCCUUGCAUCUUGUCUUCUUCUAUCGGGUGCUUCGGGUUUCUCCUUAAUUAUAAGCCUUAUUUGAGGUACUUGUUGGAGUUUCUAACAAAAAAAUUUAAGAUUUUUUUGAUGUACACGCUCUCCUAAAUAUUAAAAUCUAUAUGAAAACUAUUUCAAAAUUAAUAGUUAUAUAUAUAUAAUCAUAAAAUAUUUAUUUUAUAUGUAUAUCCUUUUAUUCUUCUUUUUUCUUUCCAUAUGUAUCCAUACCAUC